rnacentral:lncRNA from 1 species
AUUGAGUUCCAGAGGUUGUGGUGCUGUGUGCGGUGGAUUUAUUCAGCCUCUGUUGGUUGCUUUGCUCCGGGUCCAGUCAUGUUAAACCUCGGCUCUCCAUCAGGCCACUCCUCUUCAGCCAUGUCUGUGGCAUUAUCCUCCUUUGCCGACUGGUGGCGGUAACGCGCCAUUUCAAAGUUCUGCAACUGAACCGAAGAAGAAGAAGAAGAAGAAGAAGAAGAAGAGGAGUUAGCAGGGUCGCCAUGGAGAUUGCCGUUACUGUAGAGGACAGCGCUGACGCCAAGACGGAGGAUGGAAAGAAAGAUCUGCUGAAGUCCUCUGCUCGCCAGCCCUGCAGACGAGCGGUAGGGAGGCGAGCUCAGAGGGGGAAGAGGCGUGGCCCUGCAGAGAAACUUAGAGGCUCUGGUGAAAAGAGGCGUGGUCCGAAGCAGAAGAGGAGGGGUCAGGAGGAGAAGAAGGAGGGCGUGACGGUGAAGAGGACAUGGAGUGGCGGGAAGCGGCGGUGGGAUAAGAAACAUUACUGCGUGUUCUGCAGGCGGCCGCAGGUGAAGAUCGCCCGACACCUGCUGAGAAAACACGCUGACGAGCAGGAAGUGUUGGCUGCCAGUGCCUUACCCACGGGCUCCAAACAACGCCAUCUGCUGCUGGAACAUCUGCGCUGCAGGGGAAACUACCUGCACAACAUCGAGGUGAUCAGACAGGGCAGCGGAGAGAUUGUCCCAUGGCGUCAGCCUUCAGAGGAAGUUGAUGCGAGGAACUACCUGCCCUGUCCGCUCUGUCUGGGGUUUUUCCUUCGAGCUGAUCUCUGGAAACAUCAGGUCUCCUGCCGUAAGAAGCUGGCCAUAGAUCCCUCUGCAGCAAAGACAACGUCUGACCCUGUGAGCGUCGUCGCCUCAGAUUCUACAGGUGAGUCGGCAUGUGAUCAGCUACAGAACAUCAUGGUAGAGGACACGCCCCCUGAUCCCACAACAGACAUGGCCAGCACAGAUCCAACAGGGAUGUCUGAAACUGGGACGAAGCGGUCCCUCACCUCUGACGCUGGGGUAGAUCAGAACUUGACUACUGAUCCGGCAAUGAAUCCACCAAGGAAACGCACCCGGGUCCAGGCUGCAGCGUCACGCCUCCUUCCUAUUUCUAGUGGAGCGUCUGAGAGCUGCAGUGAAAUCCUGCAUCGCAUGAACCAGGACAACGUGUCACACCAGGUGAAAUCUGAUUGGUUGAUCUGUAAAUAUGGAAACAAGCUGAUGGGAAACCAAGAUGCCUGUCAGAAGCGGUAUGAUUACAUCAGCCAGAAAUUGCGGGAGCUUGGCAGGUUGCUCCUGGCAGCUAAAUCUCUAGACUCUGGUGUUCAGACCUUGCAAGACCUUCUGGCUCCAGGUCACCUCAGCCUGGCGCUGGCUGCUGCCAGAAAGGCCUCUGGGUACCGUUGGAGCCGGCCCCCGCUGGCAGUGAAGACGACUCUGAAGACAGUCUGUGAGAUUGCCAUUGGAGAGAGUCUGCAGGACGGAGACUGGGAGACUGCAGCUAAGACCACCGACUUCUACCACAUGCUGGGGAGAGAGUGGGACACCCUGGGGCUGCAAAGUCCUGGUCCAGACGCAGCUGCUCCAGAAAGAGACGCUAAACUGAAAAAGAGACCAGUCCAGCUGAUGGACGAGAAGGACCUAAGACCAGAGGCUCUGUCCAAGACCACCAACAGACCUGUGACCUCAGCGGUCCCACCAGAGUCCAGACUGCAGCCUCCUGUUACAGUUCCUUUGUCUCCAAGGAAGGUCCGACGCCGUCCAUGGUCAUCUGCGGAGAAGGAGGCCAUCUGGAGGCAGUUAGGAGUCCAUGUGCUGGUCCAGUCAGUACCAGGGAAGGAGGUCUGUCAACGCUGUUUAGACUUGGAGCCAGCCCUCAGGGGGCGACACUGGAAAGACAUCAAGAACCAGGUCCACAACCAGAUCCAAAGCCAAAAGAAGCAACAGUUCCAUGCCCAGAUGGAUCUUGAGGAGAACCUGGACCACCAAGAGCAAAUCCAGAAAAAGGAGCAGUAUCAGGCUCAAAUAGGUCAGCAGGAAAAAGACCACAUUCAGAACCAGAAGAAACAGCAUUACCACUCUCAGAUGGACCAGCAUGAACAGGACAAUCCUCAAAAUCAAAAGAGACAACAGUACCACAUCCAGAUGGACCACCAAGACCAGGACAACAACCAAAAUCCGAAGAAACUGUAUGAGCACAUGCAGUUGGACCACCAGGACAACGUUCACAUUCUCAAGAAGAAGCUGUGCCACUCUAAACCAGACCACCCAGAUCAUAGCCAGGUCCAUAAAAAGGACCUGUACCAAAUGGACCAGCAGACGCAGGACCUGCAGACCCUGGACCAGGACAGUUCAAUAAUGACAAUUACACCCUAUGUACAUGAAGGACCUCAUCGAGGUCCUGGACACUCUCUGCUAGAGCGAGAACCCACAGUCAGUCCGUACCCUCUCCUGCACCGGCCCCCCGGGCACCACAUGGACCAGCUGAUUUCCAGAGCAGAGUGGACAGAAGAGUCUUUGGCCCCGAACUACCCACUCAGCAGACAGCUAGGCCGUAACAUGCUUCAAGACGUCCCGUCAGGAGGACCACCACCUGAUCCACUCUCUGGACAUGUGUCCUUCUGAUAGACAGGUCCGGUCUUACAGAAGCUCACUGAUGUUGGACAUGCCCUCCUGUAACAGCCCCUGAGCACUCCUGACUAUCAGGAAGCUUACAGAACGUUGACUUUAAAGAUAAUAUACAAAUAAAAUCGGUUCAUUUCAGGGCGGUUCUGACCCG